GCUGUGGCUCUGUGGAAGAGCUUCUGCUUCGCAUGCAGAACAUCCCAGGUUUGGUCCCAGGUAUCACCU
rnacentral:tRNA from 1 species